rnacentral:rRNA from 1 species
CAGCCGUAAACUAUGCGCGUUAGGUGUACUGGUGACCACGAGUCACCGGGGUGCCGAAGGGAAACCGUGAAACGUGCCGCCUGGGAAGUACGGUCGCAAGGCCGAAACUUAAAGGAAUUGGCGGGGGAGCACCACAACGGGUGGAGCCUGCGGUUUAAUUGGACUCAACGCCGGAAAUCUCACCGGAUAGGACAGACAUAUGAUAGUCGGGCUGAAGACUCUACUUGAUGAUCUGAGAGGAGGUGCAUGGCGUCAGUGACU